AAAGGUUUUUUUCCCUGUGUGACAUGAGAUCAGCAAAAAGGUAUCUUUCCCACACCUGGCAUGACACCAGCAAAAAAGUAUACCUCCGCAUCAAACAUUGUAUGACCGUGAGUCAAACUCCAUGCCCACAAAUAGCACCGCAGCCUACAGACCAUGGAGCUCUCCUGCAUGGCAGCUAACUGCACAGUGGUGAAUCUCCCCUUGAGCUCAGAUGUCUCUCAAGUUUACUCGUCAAGGUUGAGAGACUCUGUACCUGCGACAGAUGCUCGAUUCCUGUAGCUCCUCUGCUUGUAUGGACAUCUGGAAUCCGGAUGGCUUUCGGCACUCCAGUGGGACAGACAGAGUGGGAAAGUGCACCAGUCAUGCAAGAAGGUUAUAUUCUCAAAUGAGAAUGCUCUCAUGUGCCCUAGUUAUUACAAAAAAGAAACAUCAAGAAGGAAACGUCCCUGGAUAUGAGGUGGGCAUUUGUGUCCAGGACAAGAUCCAGGAGCUGGAAAAGUCAAACACUUUCUUAAUU
rnacentral:lncRNA from 1 species